rnacentral:rRNA from 1 species
GAUGAACGCUGGCGGCGUGCCUAAUACAUGCAAGUCGAGCGAACAGAUGAGGAGCUUGCUCCUCUGACGUUAGCGGCUGACGGGUGAGUAACACGUGGAUAACCUACCUAUAAGACUGGGAUAACUUCGGGAAACCGGAGCUACUACCGGAUAAUAUAUUGAACUGCAUGGUUCAACAGUGAAAGACGGUUUUGCUGUCACUUAUAGAUGGAUCCGCGCCGCAUUAGUUAGUUGGUAAGGUAACGGCUUACCAAGGCAACGAUGCGUAGCCGACCUGAUAGGGUGAUCCGCCACACUGGAACUGAGACACGGUACACACUCCUACGGGAGGCAGCAGUAGGGAAUCUUACGCAAUGGGCGAAAGCCUGACGGUGCAACGCCGCGUGAGUGAUGAAGGUCUUCGGAUCGUAGAACGCUGUUAGUCGGGAAGAACAAAUGUGUAAGUAACUAUGCACGUCUUGACGGUACCUAAUCAGAAAGCCACGGCUAACUACGUG